GAUGAACGCUGGCGGCGUGCCUAAUACAUGCAAGUCGAGCGAACAGACGAGGAGCUUGCUCCUCUGACGUUAGCGGCGGACGGGUGAGUAACACGUGGAUAACCUACCUAUAAGACUGGGAUAACUUCGGGAAACCGGAGCUAAUACCGGAUAAUAUAUUGAACCGCAUGGUUCAAUAGUGAAAGACGGUUUUGCUGUCACUUAUAGAUGGAUCCGCGCCGCAUUAGCUAGUUGGUAAGGUAACAGCUUACCAAGGCAACGAUGCGUAGCCGACCUGAGAGGGUGAUCGGCCACACUGGACCUGAGACACGGUCCAGACUCCUACGGGAGGCAGCAGUAGGGAAUCUUCCGCAAUGGGCGAAAGCCUGACGGAGCAACGCCGCGUGAGUGAUGAAGGUCUUCGGAUCGUAAAACUCUGUUAUUAGGGAAGAACAAAUGUGUAAGUAACUAUGCACGUCUUGACGGUACCUAAUCAGAAAGCCACGGCUAACUACGUG
rnacentral:rRNA from 1 species